AUUUAUACCAUAUAUCAGAGAUAUUAGUUAGAUUACUAAGUUUUUUCCGUCAAGAAAACUUUGUUUUGUCAAGCAACUGAGCAACUCGAACCAUUUUUAGCAUGAGUUCACUUUUCGAUGUAGUUCUUUGUGAUUAUUGGUAGCUGACAAAGGUAAGGGUAAGGCUGUGAGGGUACACUAGAAGUGCAUGCAAAUAAAAAGGAUCCUAAAAUCUCUCCGUCAGCUCCCCAAGUUUGGACAUCCAGUGUAGAUGUUCUCGUGGACAGUUGAACAGAACAGUAGCAUGCAUGAGUAUGAUGAACACCCUAUUGCCAAGUGGGAUCACUUUGGUGAGCUUGACCCUAGUGAGCAAACCUAUGUGAGCAUUAGGGAAUGAAGGGAGUAUGAAGAUAAGUUCAGGGGACUAAUCUCUCUUCACAUAACUAAACAACAAACUGAUGAGCUC